AUUGCUGAGGAUGGGAAGGGUGGGAUGGAGGCGUCGCCCCUGGGGGUUCCCAGAGGGGCCAGGAAGGUUGUGGCGCAGCGAGCCCACCGGUAGCGCCGUGAUUGCACGGGAUGGUGUCACGGCACAAUUUCUGUCCGUGUUGUCCCGAUGUUUUAUCCCGAUGCUGGUGAACAUCUAAGGUGCGAGAAGACGGCGCUAAAGCCUGGGCUUUUGGCGCUAGAAUUGCCAGUCUGUUCCCGUGCUUGGGCAAUUUACAGCCGCUCAUAGGCUCGCAUAAGGGACCCUUAUUUUAGUUUCUACAAAACUUCUGACUCUUGAACUGGUAGGUUGUAAGCAUGAGGCACUGCUAAGUUCGGUGUGCAGCGGUUACACUGUAUAAGAGCAGCAGUAGCUGAUGAUGAACAAAUACCUUCAAGGUUUUGAAGUCCAAGCUUAAAAUAUAAACUCCACAAUUUUAGAGGAUUAAGACGUUGUGUUGCUCUGAAAGGCUGCUGUAGGCAUUUGGCAUUUGUAAGUGGUCUAUAGGUUGAAAAAAAAAAAAUCCACAUUAAAAGGCUUGCUGUGUUCUACAUUCUUAAAAUUAUAGCCUGGAAGUCAGUGCCUUUUCUCAACUCGGCUACCACACAAAUUAUCCUGAAAAUACAGGGGCAGUUUAUUAACUGACUUGGCAUAUCACUAGAAUGGAGUGGGAUCUGAUCUGAACCAAGUUAAAGCUGUCUGGACCCUGUCAAGAUUGUGAUCCUGAUCCUGCCUGGUUUUGGUAUUGAUAUAAAUGUUAGUUUGAUUAACAUUGAUAUUCAGUAAUUUGAUGAUAGCACAUGAUCAAAUUGGACACUCCAUGUUCUCAGUGGGAAAAAAUUAAGAGUAUGGAAAGCUUUUAUUUAAAGUCUUGUUCACUGUUUAGCACAACCCUUCAUUUGGCUAUAAUCUUAGUGUGUGAAAUAUUUGCUGUCUUUGUCCUCUGAGUUUAUAAAAGAAGUAGUGGCUAUUGUAAUCCAUUUUUUCUUUAAAUUUAUGUUGGAGAUUUUCUGUCUGACAGUGAUCUGUCAAGGUAGAGGAAUGCACAGUACUAAUGGGCACUGCAAAACUGGUUAAAAUAGCUUGCAAAAAAAGUGAGCGUGUAAAAUGGGGAAGUAGUGUCAGUAUUGCUUUUGUCUGCUGGAGUGUGAAAUACUGAAUUAAAUGCUUUUUCUUUCCUAAUGAAACCCAUAAUGAGUUUUAUGGUUGUUAUGGUUUCUGUCUAUCCAGGUUAACCAACUGAAAAAGGAGAUCAGUAAAUUUGCUCAGCAGUUGAAGGUUCCGAGUACCAACAUCAUGCCAGACAGUGAAAAGGAAGUGCUAACAGUACAAAUAUAGGGAAGAAAGUAGCCUGGACAUGAGUAAUCCUGUACCUCAUUCUGCACAUUCUGUGGGGCACAGCUGCUGCUCUUAGAAGAGGCAUAUUCAGCAGCAAAUAUUGAAAAAAAACAGCGUUCUUCUACAAAAAUCAUGAAAAUGGGAUCUGCUGCUUAGUUCUUGGUUCUCUGUUACACCUUGUUCUGUCACUACCAGCCUUGGUAAAAAUUCUCUCUCCAUCUUUCUUAAAAGACCCCUUCAUGUGUUAAAAGGCUGCAAUGAGUGACCCUGGAGACUUCUCCAGGCUGAGAAAUUUCCACACUCUCAUCCUUUCUUCGAAGGAGAUAUGUUUUAGUCCUGUCAUCAUUCCUGUUGCCCUCCUCUGAAGGUGCUGUGACAGGUACAUGUCUUUCUUGUGCUCAAAGAAAGGAGGGGGAUUCCAGAGCUGGACACAGUGUUUCAGGUGAAACCACUACAGCAAAGUAAGGGGAUGCCUCUGGGUAGCAUCCCAUCCUUCUGGUAUAUGAAGUAUAUUUGGACACUCCCUGCUGGAAGGAUUUCGGCAGCGUUUGUGGUAGUUAGUUAACCAGGGCUCAGGCAGAGGAAUGUGAUUACUUAGUAAACUCAGAUGCUGGCUGGCACCAUGCUGGCCUGUGCCAAGCAGAACAUUUCCAAGGACUUCUGAACAUUCUUCAUGGAACCUGUUUGUGUGCAGCCAGCCUGCUUGGAGAGAGAAUUAAUUAGUGUAGGCACAAGCACCUCCACAUUGGUUGGCCUCAGUGCCUAGGAAUAUUCCAUACAUGCCUAAUUUACUGGUAUGGGUGUGGCAGUUCAGUGAUGUGUAAGUUGGUGCCAAGAAUAGCAAAGAACAUGUAGGAAAGUAUGUACUCACUGAGGUAAGUAGUCUGAAUGCUGACCCUUAUAGUAUUUUCCCUAGAGUUCUACAUUGUAAGAACCAGUAGAUAAUGAGAUUACUUCAGAUGUCUGUGAAGUUACAUCCCAAAUUUGGAUGACCACCUAUCCAAUACAGUUCUGUAAGUGUAGUUCAUAUCCAAACCGUAGUUUAUAUCUAUUUUUUUAUUUUCUUCAGAUUAAAUAUAUACCUAUAGAACACUUUCAUGGAGUUUAUUGGUAAAUGAACAUGGAAUAAGCUUCAGAACUUUGAGCAAAGUCACAUUCUAGUGUUUUCUGUGUGCAAACCCAGUCUUACCAGUGUCAACCUUACAGGGUGCUGAUAGCUUUCAUGUAGCAGGGUGGAUGUAACAGAACCUUGAUAGUGACUGCUGGAGUACCUUACUUUUUAAAAAAUAGUUUUUCACUUUUUGUAGAGGUGACAGAAUGUCCUGCCUCUUGCAGAGGACAAUUAAACAUGGUGAAGUUAAGUGCAUUGCUGGCUCUAGUUCCUGGCUCUGAGGAGCAAGUAUUGAAGGAUGCAUCUUAAGCAAGCAGUAGAGAAGAAAAGGAACUGUGUUUUUCUCAGCAAAGGUGCUGGUGAGGGAUGUGUAUAGCAGCAUUUGUGCUAAUGGUGCUGUGCACCAAUCACUGGAAACACUGGUUUCAUUCUGGGGUUGUUUUGGGGGUGUUAGUGGAAACAGAUAGAAAUACAGAUUUCCCAGCAUUGUCUGUUUACACUUCAAUGCCUGAGUGGAUUUGUCUCUGGUCUUAAUUUAUCUUUACUCUGAUCCUUUGGCCUGUGAAGAGACCCACUGAUCCAACAGGAAAAAAGAAGGGGAUAUAACAUGGAAUGAGCUUCUCCUGGAAAUGAGGGUCCCGUCUCAUCAGAGCCCUGGAUCUCAUAGUUAAGAGGAAUACCAAAGCUGGAGAAUGCUGAGCAACUGCAGGACUUUCUGAACUGCUGCUUGCAGACCGAUGAGGACGCUCAGUGGUCUGCUGAGCAACUUCUGCAGUAGGUUCAGAUUUCCCUGGUGGCAAGAGCUGCAGUAGGAUGAUCCCAGGUAUGGAGGCAUGAAAUAGUGCUGGUGGUGAAGAAUCCUGAUGAAGCCAUCCCAGCCAAGCAGUCCAAGACUUGGCUGUGGGAAAGAAGGGAUUGUUGGGGAUCUCCCUUUGAGCAUCAGGAGGGCCUCAGCUUGUCCCUCCUACCCCACUCAGACGUUUCUGAUACCAAAACAGGGACAGCUGAGCAGGACUUGUCACAGCCCUUUUUUGCUGCCUAGCACAGUUGAGUAGAUGAGAACUGCUGCAGGAUUGCUGCCAGGUUUUGUGACAGAUUGGGAGCUGCAGAGUGUGUGCCACUUGGCUGUCUCUACUCUGAAGGUGCCAGCCAGCACAGGAGGUGCAGGAGAUACACUGCUCUCCCUGCAAGCCAGAGCUCAGUCCAUCAGUGCUCCACCACUUGUCUCCCUGCUCUUGGUGCUGAAAACCUCAGUGGUCUUCAGAUGAAAACAUGGGCCCAGAUCCUCCUGGGAUAAACAUUUCUUAGCUGUCCUCGAGUUUCUUGAAGAACAGCUUGUGCUACUCAUCUUUUUUGACAACUAAUAUAGCCCAUGCCUCCAAGAAGAAGAGCCCUAAGUCAAUAUUUUGUGUUUCCUGAAAGUGAAAAUUCCUGGACUGCAAGCAGCAUUCCCAGAGUCUUGGCAGGGCAAAUAUUGUAUCAAGCUAGAGACACCUUGAUAAAUGGAUUAAUAGAAUUAUGGGCCAAGUAUUGCAGUUACUGGACAUGUGGUAGGGGGGUACAUGAAGACAGAGGUGCAGAUAGUUCCUUCAGACCUAUUUCUGCAUCUUUAUGACAUCUCAAAGAAUAGUACUUGAGCCCAUGAGAAAAUGAGCUUGGAAAGUCAUGGUUCAUUUGUUUUCCUUUGGUCAGCAUCCAUUUUUACUCUCAGGCAAGCCUCUCUCCAGCCUCACCCCUCUGAUCAUUGCAGCAAGACAGGAGAGGGAGGACAGGAGAUGCGACAGUGACAGAACUGCUUUAUCCAGUGCCAGCAAUGGGUGGCUCUCAGAAUAGAAAUCAAACUACACUCAAAUCAGUUAGAAGAUACCCUUCCUUCUCACCCUGUGAAAAAGCUGUACAUUCCCUUUUCAAUUGUCACUUGUUUCUUAAAGAUGCAAAGCCCCAUUUUUGAAGGGGUUUUGGUAUGGCUUGGGAUUGGGGAAGGGUCUCUUUCAUUCCUAAACUCCAGUCUGCACUGCUUUUGGAAUACAGCCCACUGAAUGGUUUUUGCCCAGUCACGGUACUCCUAGAUGAGGAAGAAAGCACGUUUGCAUUUCCAACCAGACACGAAUGUAGAGUGGGACAGACAAAAUAUCAUGUGGAGAUACAGCCUUUCAGCUGUAGUUCUGGAGGGUUUCAGCUCUCAACCAUUGCGUUUGUACAACUAAUAUAAAUCUCUUUGUCUCUCUGUAAGAUGAGAGUCUUAGUCAAAUGAAAAAGCAGCAGGAUCGGUCACUGCUCUUAGAAAGGCCCAUCUGAUGCAAAGCUGUCAAUAGAAACACGAGGUGAGAGUGGGUCCAGCUGUGGCCAGUGCUCAGCCCCAGCAAAACCCUGGCAGAGCACAGAGCAGCCUCAGCAUUUGCAGCCUGGAAGAAGGAAUUCAUAGCAGCAAGCAGCAGCAGACCAGCCUUGGAUGCUUGCCUCUUCCUAGGACCAGACCAUUCAUCCAUAUCAGAGCCAAACUGGCAGUGGGCUGCUCCCAAGGGGAAUCGUAGCCGUGCCAUGAACUGCACAGUCUGGUGGGAUUGGCCACCUGGAGUCUGUGCAGGCGUAGAGAAGCGCUAAAGACAGGGGAGUGGUGGUGUCACUGCUGAGAAGGUUGCUGUCCUUGGAGACUUGCAGCUAAAUAUUAAUUAACUGUCCUGGAUUUCCUUGAAAGCACAACAGGCCUGAUUUUUCAGAUGGCUGCUGGAGUGAGCAGCUCUGGUUUCCUGAACAGGGGAUCCCCAGGGGAAACAGAUAGAGCUGCCAGGAGCCUGCAGCUGGCACGAGAGUGGCUGAUGGGACUCGGGUGUUUCAGGAGCAAUGAUGGCAAAGUGCCCAUCCCUGUGGCCCCAAAAGAAGUUCCUGGGGAGCACCAGCAUCCAGGGCAGGAAAACUGUCUGUGGCACAUCAGAUCACACAGAAGUGCCUGCAGGAAGGGCACUGAAGGUCUGCCAGCUUGACCAGGGAGCAGCAGUACCUGAUGGGGAGAAAGCCACAGAAGCCACGGCCUCUCUAAGCUCUGUAUCUCCCAUCACAACUAACACAGUUGUCCAGAGAGAGCUCCAGUGGGAUCCUGUUGCCACCGAGGUGUCAGGGCAGUCCCAGAUGGAAGCAGUGAGCACAGCUGUGGGGGCUGAGCCCAGGAACUCGGUGCCAGAGCUGCAGGAGGAGGAUGACUGCCACAAUGUGAGGAAGGAACAUUUCUGCAAGAAGCCAUCACCUGCAGGACAAUGAAGAGUCUUUUGCCAAGACUUAAAGUAGAAUUUUGGGGCUAAUAGGACUUGAAAAUGGAAUAGGGAAAUUAAUGAGCUUUACUAUCUGCUUUUUUCAUAAACUUAUAGUCAUGUGCCACAUUCCAGAUGUCACCUGCCCUAUUUUUUUAACAAAUGUUUUCUUCUAUUUAAUUUAUGUAAUUGUGUUUUGAAUAAUUAAUGUAGGAGGGUUUGUAUUGGUUAUGUUUUUAUAAUGUGUUUUUAUAAUGUUUUAUAAUAAGUUUUAUUAUAUGGUUUACUAUGGUUUUAAUUUGUUUUAUUAAGUUGCAUAAUGUGUUUUUUGUUGGUUAAACCCAAAUUUGUUUGCUUCCUUCAUUUUCCAAAUGCAGCAUUGAUUUGGAAGAAAAUCCAGGCACUCACUUUCUUCCCUUUGGAAAGAACACAGCCCCUCGCUUAGUGGGUGGGGAGCGUGAAGGUGGAUCCUUCUUCCCCCAGCCUGUGGGGUUUUAUAAUUUAUUCCUAAGAAUUCCAAAACAUAAGCUUGAAACUGCAAACACUUGGAUCCUGGGGACUGAUGCAGGUUUAACUUGCUGUUGCAUGGAAGCUCCUUUACUUUCCAGUUCAGAUGUAAACAUUUCCUUCAUUUUGCUAUUUCAAAUCCUUUUGCAUGGGGCUCCCUGGGGGUGGAUGCCAGUGUGUUGCCUAGUUUAUUUUAACACCCUGCUCUGCUCCCUAUUUUCCCUGUGAUGCUGCUUCUGUGGCUCCCCUCACUCCUGGGAAUCUGACUAGCACAGUCACAUGGCACUCAGGUUUCAGCCCUCCAAAGACAAGCAGCAGGUUCUAAUCCAGUGAGACAGAAUGAGUCAGCCCCAGAUGGCACUGCAUCAUCCAUGGUCUCCUGCCUGUACUUGGAAAUGAGAUAACUUUCCUAAUUAAUGGUUUUAAUAAACUUUUUGAUUCAUUUUUUUAAUAACCUUAAGUCGUGUAUUAGUCCUUAGCAGUGUAAUUUUCCAUUUUAGCCAGCAUGUAGCUAAGUUUUUUUUACAGACUGUUAUUGUUAGUGUGUGAUUAUUAGAUCCCCAAAAACUUCAAGUUAUGAUGAACUAACCCUAUUAAGCUCCAGUGAACAAAGAAAGCCCUGGGGGAGUUAAAGGCUGGACACCUGGAAUCCAGAAUUUAUAGGCCUCCAAGGACAUAUUGAAGUAACCAGAAGAUAAAGAAGAGACUAACAAAGAUAAUUCAAUAUGUUCUGGAGUCUUUUUGUCUGGGAAAAAGAUAAUAAAAAACUUAAAAGAUGUGGACUAAUUAGCAUGAGAAGUGAGAAAUCAAUAACCAAUAGAAGAUAGAAUAGUAAUUGAUGCAAAAAAUUAUGUAAUUUAGAACCAAUGAACAUUAACUUAUUUGCUAAAAAUGUAUAAAUAAGUGAAAAGUUUUGAAAGUUGUGUGCAUUUAGGUGGAGCACCCUGGCCUGGAAUAAACUAAUGCCUGCUCCCUAAUACUACAAAAACAGUGUUAGAGAGUUUCAUUCAUCCUGACGUUUUUGGCAACAUACUGGC